AGCUCCAAUAGCGUAUAUUAAAGUUGUUGCAGUUAAAAAGCUCGUAGUUGAAUUUCUGGCCAGCGUUGCGUCUGGCUCUCUGAGUCGACGUACUCGCUUGGUCAUCCGUAUGGGAAGCCUGCUCGGCCUUCACUGGUCGGCUGGUGGAUCAUACACUUUACUUUGAAAAAAUUAGAGUGUUUCAGGCAGGCAAUUGCUUGGAUACUUCAGCAUGGAAUAAUGGAAUAGGACUUUGACCUAUUUGUUGGUUUUUCUCUCAAGGUCAAGGUAAUGAUUAAUAGGGACAGUUGGGGGCAUUCGUAUUUAAUUGUCAGAGGUGAAAUUCUUGGAUUUAUUAAAGACGAACUUAUGCGAAAGCAUUUGCCAAGGAUGUUUUCA
rnacentral:rRNA from 1 species